rnacentral:rRNA from 1 species
UACGUAGGGUGCGAGCGUUGUCCGGAAUUAUUGGGCGUAAAGAGCUCGUAGGCGGUCCGUCGCGUCGAAUGUGAAAACCCGGGGCUCAACCCCGGGCCUGCAUUCGAUACGGGCGGACUAGAGUUCGGUAGGGGAGACUGGAAUUCCUGGUGUAGCGGUGAAAUGCGCAGAUAUCAGGAGGAACACCGGUGGCGAAGGCGGGUCUCUGGGCCGUAACUGACGCUGAGGAGCGAAAGCAUGGGGAGCGAACAGG